GUGCGUAAAAGAAUAAUUAUUGUCUUAACAAGAUGAACUGCUUUUGAUUCAAAGAAAAAUAGACUUGCAAAACAGGACCUUUUCUGCACCAUUCCCGGAGACUACUGGUAUGCUUAUACCUACAGGUAUUUCAUAAUACUGCAGUUAGUUAUUUAUUUUUGUAAAUAAAAAUUUCUAGAUCGAAUAGAAUACCUGACUAAGUUUCUGGGCGGAAAACCCUGAGGUUUUGGACUACACGCAAGAGGUCCUGGUAUUGUCCUUGGAGACGAUUGGUGUUCUGCUCCAAGUCAGCAUACCUCUUUCCCAAGUCUUUCGCAUAGGAAUCUACCACCUUCUUCAGCUUUCUAUUUUCUUGCUGUAGAACCCUAUUCCUUCGCCUAAAGUACAUGUACAUUCGCUGCAAAGUCAAAUUUUGAGCUUUCAACGCUCGAAUUUCAUUCCCCCGAACUUGCAGACGUCGAGCCAUAUUUGCAACAGAAGAAGCACCCUGAAUACUGAAAGCCAAAGAGUCAUUGAUGGCUUGAGCAUCAGUCCUAUCCGCCAACAACUUUUCAUCUCGAGGAGUUAUGAUGCCUUGAGCCACGGAGGCAGCUGCUGCAUCACUCAGCAUCACAGAGUCAUUUGUCAGAAGAGGACCUCUCUGAGAUAGGAACAAGGGACGCCAAAUUUCUGGUACUACGGGCGCAGCAUUCAGAUCAAAAUUAUUUUGAGAGGAUGAGGAAGCCAUUUUUAGAAAACUAAGGAAAUGAUGAUACUCCUCAAAGGACCUGAAGGAGAAAAGAAAGAAAUGAAGCGGUUAUUCGAAAGAUCUGAAGGAAGAAAAGAGAACUUAAUCAGUGAACGAGACACAGUCUAAUCAACGUCAUUCUGAGCGCAGCUGCCACUACCACUAGUAGACAACUCUCGAAUCACGAGCUCUCUUUCUUUUCAGUUUUCACCCUUUUCACCUUCUCGAAUUCCGAAUUCACCCAAGACUUUUCCGGAUUUCGCGCCGCACUUUCCGCAACUAGCAGUCGUAGAAGGGCAUCCCGAGAAUGAACUGGAUGAGCGUUUCGAGAAAGGUAGGAAGAUUUUACGAUCCACUGUCGGUACCACUUGCAUCGACCCUUCUCGAAUCUCCUCUAUUAAUUCACUCGUUUUCUCUCUUGCAAAACGCACCCCUGAGCUCUCAACCUUUCACACUUUGAGAGCCAAAUUUUCCUUCUAGUCUGAACUUAUCAUCGCCUCCUAUGAAAGAAGAUGUAGUUCGAUAACCAAAUUUCCAAACCUAUAGUUAGAAAAAUGCAGCAUCACAAACAGAUUCAUAAACACAGAAGCAAGAUUAUUCUUGAUCAUACUAUCCAGAAGCAAGAUUAUCCUUGAUCAUGCAAGACCUUCUCUUCCGCCAUAUCAACCUGGACUCUCCUCGCAUCCAUCUACAAUCCAGUGAUGGUGAUCUAUGACAGAAGAGAGAGAGCACUACGAUAUGAGUACCGCACUCAUAUCCUUUCCGGAUUGCUUGCCUUGACUUCUUUGCUUUCUUCACCUUCCCCACCUUCCUCUCCUUCGAGGCUUCCAUGUUCUCAUUUGGCAAGCUUUCCACCAAGAUUAUCAGAAAACAUCCUCAUAAAAGUGAUUUGUUGUACGAGAGAUUUUCCUAUAAUGAGAAAUGAAUAUUUUCCCUUCUUCAAGCUACACAUUUGUUUGAUCUAUUAUACUUCUUGUUAUAAUGAGCUUAAAAUAUUAUAUUUGAUAACUAUCACACGGUGCGGUAUACUUGUUUAAAUUUCAUGUCUAAUAAAUUAGAUGCUUCACAUAAAAAUCUGUGACGCUAGACUUAAGAAUUAGAAAUCUAAAUCUUCCAUUAGGUAAACUUUAUGCGAAGCAUAGUUUACGAAUUUCGGGGACGAAAUUCCAUUAAGGGGGGAGGAAUGUAGCGCCCCAGAUUUUUAAACAUAUUAAUAAUUUGAUUAAAGAUGAAAAAUGAUUAUUAUGUGAAUAAAUAAACGAUCAAUUGUUUGAUAAAUAUUUUCAACUGAUUUAAUAAACGGUGUUUUAAUAAAUCUGAUAAUCCGAAAAUUUACUAAGUUAAUAAAAUAGGCAGAUAUGAAUAAAAUAUCAUUAAUUAUAAUUCCCAACCAACGCAUCACUUCACAGUUUUAAUCUACUCGGUGUUCUUCAAUCUGCCGCACUGAAACUCCUACUCUGCCUAAUUAUUCCCACCAUUUUCUCCACUCCUCAUUAUUAUAAGUCUAUCGAUGCAAUGAGUAAUUAGUGGGCAGCUUGUCAUUGCACUCAUGAAUAGAAUAAACUCUAUAAUAUAAUCAUUAGUUUCCAUUAUUAGUUUAUUAACCACAUUAUAUAGUCGAACACUUAGUGGACAGCUUGUCAUUGCACUCAUGAAUAGAAUAAACUCUAUAAUAUAAUCAUUAGUUUCCAUUAUUAGUUUAUUAACCACAUUAUAUAGUCGAGCACCUUCCCUCUGCAGACGCACUUCUCCUUCUUUUUCAUUAUGCCUGCUCCUUUUCUUGUUAUCCCUUCUUUCCAGCACAUUAUGUUUAAUGAUAUUAUAUUUAUAAGUGGCCGACUAUCAUAAUUGGAACACUAUUUCCAGCACCUUCCUUCUCUUCCUUCAUUAUUUUAUAACCCCACUUUAGUUCCUUAAGUUUCUUCUUCUCUGCCUUCUUCUUCACGGUGGCACAGUGAAAGUCAGAGCAAUGAGAGCGUGAGAUGUGAGAAGAGAGAAACUAAUCGAGAGAGAGAGAGAGAAGUUGUCUGAGAGUGAGACUGAAACGGAGAGAAAGGCAGCACCUGAGAGAUGGGAAGAGAGAGAUCCGGGUGGCCCGUGAAGGUGAAACCCGGAGAUACCGUAGCAGAACCUGUGACCCGUGACCCAGCCGAACCGUAGCAGAUCGAUCCAAACUCGGCCGGGUUCCGGCCGAUUGUAGCAGACCCGAGAGUAGAGAGACCGUGAGAUGUCGAGGGAGAUCGGGAAGUUGAGGAGUGCCCGGACCCGAUCCUCCGGUGGGUGGCGCCGACGAGGCCAGAAGACACCGACGACACGACCUCCGGCGAGCCCGUGAGAACCCAUAGCCCAGAUCCCAGCUACUGGUCAAAACCCAUCUCAGACCCGGCGAGAUCUAACCCGCAAACCCAGUAACCGUGCGUGAAAUCAUGACCCGAACCGUGAGACCACAGAGGCCCAAAACCCGUAGCCCAGACCUGCAGACCCAUGGGCUGACUUCAGCCCAGGCCCGCUGAGCCCAAACCCGGCAGUGAUCCCCAACCCAUGACCCGAACCCGGAAACCUGACCCACCGGCGACCCGUCUCCGGUAGACACUCCGGCGACUUUUCCGGCGACUUUCCGGCGACCGAACUCACUAUUUUCACUGGAUUUUCUAGUAAAAAUCCUUAAUAUGAUGAACUGAGAAACUGUACAAAAAGACUCCCAUGUUGCAGGUACGAAAGUGUAUAAAGCUCAAGGAUAGGAGUUUGUUAACAUUACAGGAAUUAGAACUGUUCGAUAAUGUAGUUGAUGAUUGUAGUGAAUUCUUGUAUCAAUUUGAAAUGUAAUACUUUAAUUACGUUUAUCACUCAAUAAAGCUUUGAUGUGUUAUUUAA